rnacentral:rRNA from 1 species
CCGAACGCUGGCGGCAGGCUUAACACAUGCAAGUCGAGCGCCCCGCAAGGGGAGCGGCAGACGGGUGAGUAACGCGUGGGAAAUCUACCCAUCUCUACGGAACAACUCCGGGAAAACUGGAGCUAAUACCGUAUACGUCCUUCGGGAGAAGAAAGAUUUAUCGGAGAUGGAUGAGCCCGCGUUGGAUUAGCUAGUUGGUGGGGUAAUGGCCUACCAAGGCGACGAUCCAUAGCUGGUCUGAGAGGAUGAUCAGCCACACUGGGACUGAGACACGGCCCAGACUCCUACGGGAGGCAGCAGUGGGGAAUAUUGGACAAUGGGCGAAAGCCUGAUCCAGCCAUGCCGCGUGAGUGAUGAAGGCCCUAGGGUUGUAAAGCUCUUUCAACGGUGAAGAUAAUGACGGUAAACCGUAGAAGAAGCCCCGGCUAACUUCGUGCCAGCAGCCGCGGUAAAUACGAAGGGGGCUAGCGUUUGUUCGGAAUUACUGGGCGUAAAGCGCACGUAGGCGGAUACUUAAGUCAGGGGUGAAAUCCCGGGGCUCAACCCCGGAAACUGCCUUUGAUACUGGGUAUCUGGAGUCCGGAAGAGGUGAGUGGAAUUCCGAGUGUAGAGGUGAAAUUCGUAGAUAUUCGGAGGAACACCAGUGGCGAAGGCGGCUCACUGGUCCGGUACUGACGCUGAGGGUGCGAAAGCGUGGGGAGCAAAACAGGAUUAGAUACCCUGGUAGUCCACGCCCGGUAAAACGAUGGAAGCUAGCCGUUGGCAAGUUUACUUGUCGGUGGCGCAGCUAACGCAUCAAGCUUUCCCGCCUGGGGAGUACGGUCGCAAGAUUAAAACUCAAAGGAAAUUGACGGGGGGCCCGCAACAAGCGGUGGAGCAUGUGGUUUAAUUCGAAGCAACGCGCAGAACCUUACCAGCCCUUGACAUCCCGGUCGCGGUUACCAGAAAUGGUUUCCUUCAGUUCGGCUGGACCGGUGACAGGUGCUGCAUGGCUGUCGUCAGCUCGUGUUCGUGGAGAUGUUGGGUUAAGUCCCGCAACGAGCGCAACCCUCGCCCUUAGUUGCCAUCAUUCAGUUGGGCACUCUAAGGGGGACUGCCGGUGAUAAGCCGAGAGGAAAGGUGGGGGAUGACGUCAAGUCCUCAUGGCCCUUACGGGCUGGGCUACACACGUGCUACAAUGGUGGUGACAGUGGGCCAGCGAGACCGCGAGGUCGAGCUAAUCUCUAAAAGCCAUCUCAGUUCGGAUUGCACUCUGCAACUCGAGUGCAUGAAGUUGGAAUCGCUAGUAAUCGCGGAUCAGGCAUUGCCGCGGUGAAUACGUUCCCGGGCCUUGUACACACCGCCCGUCACAACCAUGGGAGUUGGUUUUUACCCGAAGGCGCUGUGCUAACCGCAAGGAGGCAGGCGACCACGGUAGGGUCAGCGACUGGCGUG